rnacentral:rRNA from 1 species
AACGAACGCUGGCGGCAUGCCUAAUACAUGCAAGUCGAACGAGAUCUUCGGAUCUAGUGGCGCACGGGUGCGUAACGCGUGGGAAUCUGCCCUUGGGUUCGGAAUAACAGCGGGAAACUGCUGCUAAUACCGGAUGAUGACGUAAGUCCAAAGAUUUAUCGCCCAGGGAUGAGCCCGCGUAGGAUUAGGUAGUUGGUGGGGUAAAGGCCUACCAAGCCUACGAUCCUUAGCUGGUCUGAGAGGAUGGUCAGCCACACUGGGACUGAGACACGGCCCAGAUUCCUACGGGAGGCAGCAGUAGGGAAUAUUGGACAAUGGGGGCAACCCUGAUCCAGCAAUGCCGCGUGAGUGAUGAAGGCCUUAGGGUUGUAAAGCUCUUUUACCCGGGAUGAUAAUGACAGUACCGGGAGAAUAAGCCCCGGCUAACUCCGUGCCAGCCGCCGCAGUAA